rnacentral:rRNA from 1 species
UACAGAGGGGGCAAGCGUUAUUCGGAAUUAUUGGGCGUAAAGGGCGCGUAGGCGGCCUGACAAGUGACGGGUGAAACCCCUCGCUUAACCGAGGAACUGCGCCCAAUACUACCGUGCUCGAGGGAGAUAGAGGUGAGCGGAACUUAGGGUGGAGCGGUGAAAUGCGUUGAUAUCCUAAGGAACACCGGUGGCGAAAGCGGCUCACUGGAUCUCUUCUGACGCUGAGGCACGAAAGCUAGGGUAGCGAACGGG